GGAUAACUUACCCUUAGGACUGGGAUAACUCUGGGAAACUGGGGAUAAUACUGGAUAUUAGGCUAUGCCUGGAAUGGUUUGCCUUUGAAAUGUUUUUUUUCGCCUAAGGAUAGGUCUGCGGCUGAUUAGGUCGUUGGUGGGGUAAUGGCCCACCAAGCCGAUGAUCGGUACGGGUUGUGAGAGCAAGGGCCCGGAGAUCGAACCUGAGACAAGGUUCCAGACCCUACGGGGUGCAGCAGGCGCGAAACCUCCGCAAUGUACGAAAGUGCGACGGGGGGAUCCCAAGUGUUAUGCUUUUUUGUAUGACUUUUCAUUAGUGUAAAAAGCUUUUAGAAUAAGAGCUGGGCAAGACCGGUGCCAGCCGCCGCGGUAACACCGGCAGCUCGAGUGGUAGCUGUUUUUAUUGGGCCUAAAGCGUUCGUAGCCGGUUUGAUAAGUCUUUGGUGAAAGCUUGUAGCUUAACUAUAAGAAUUGCUGGAGAUACUAUUAGACUUGAAGUCGGGAGAGGUUAGAGGUACUACCGGGGUAGGGGUGAAAUCCUAUAAUCCUGGGAGGACCACCUGUGGCGAAGGCGUCUAACUGGAACGAUCUUGACGGUGAGUAACGAAAGCCAGGGGCGCGAACCGGAUUAGAUACCCGGGUAGUCCUGGCCGUAAACGAUGUGGACUUGGUGUUGGAAUGGCUUUGAGUUGUUCCGGUGCCGAAGGGAAGCUGUUAAGUCCACCGCCUGGGAAGUACGGUCGCAAGACUGAA
rnacentral:rRNA from 1 species